rnacentral:rRNA from 1 species
GAAAGAAAAGGAGUGGCGAACGGGUGAGUAACACGUGGGUAACCUGCCCAUCAGAAGGGGAUAACACUUGGAAACAGGUGCUAAUACCGUAUAACAAUCGAAACCGCAUGGUUUCGGUUUGAAAGGCGCUUUUGCGUCACUGAUGGAUGGACCCGCGGUGCAUUAGCUAGUUGGUGAGGUAACGGCUCACCAAGGCAACGAUGCAUAGCCGACCUGAGAGGGUGAUCGGCCACAUUGGGACUGAGACACGGCCCAAACUCCUACGGGAGGCAGCAGUAGGGAAUCUUCGGCAAUGGACGCAAGUCUGACCGAGCAACGCCGCGUGAGUGAAGAAGGUUUUCGGAUCGUAAAACUCUGUUGUUAGAGAAGAACAAGGAUGAGAGUAGAAUGUUCAUCCCUUGACGGUAUCUAACCAGAAAGCCACGGCUAACUACGUGCCAGCAGCCGCGGUAAUACGUAGGUGGCAAGCGUUGUCCGGAUUUAUUGGGCGUAAAGCGAGCGCAGGCGGUUUCUUAAGUCUGAUGUGAAAGCCCCCGGCUCAACCGGGGAGGGUCAUUGGAAACUGGGAAACUUGAGGCAGAAG